ACCUCGGUCCGACUUCUGUCCGCACAGAGCUUCCAGUCUGGUGACUGGAGCUCAAAGAGAACCGGACACUCGGGGGAGGCUGGGGUUGCCCUCGGGCGGAGAGGAAGGAUGAAAGGUAAUUACAGGUGUGCGUGUGGGCAUUUGACCGAGUCGCAGUGCGUGCACACGUGCUGUUACUUGUAUCUCCGUUACUCCGGGCGUUCGUCCCCAUUGUUUUAGGGCAGCGGAAAGCCUCCAUCCUUUGUUACGGCCUCUACCCAGAUAAACCACAACGGGGCACUGGGUUGCAGAGCCGAGGCCGCCCUUGCUCUGGGGGUGGAGAGUGGAGUUGGGGGGAGGCCAUCCCCUCGGUUCCCACGGUGCCCUCUGGUGUCAUCCUCACCCACCCGCCUGCGCACCUUCGCUCGACUCUGGUCACUUUUAGGGAUUGAUGCACCGUGUCAGACACGCCGCCUGAAUUGAUUCAGCACUUGGGAUUGGGCGCUAGGGUGCAGGUGUGAACUCCCAGGGCCGGACGUCCGGAAAAGGACGCACCGAGCGGGGGUGGGGGCGGCUAGAGCCGGGAAACACGGAUUACCGCGCACCCAGAAGGGGACGGGUCCAACGUGGAGUUCGAGGUCGGACCCGCACCCAAGAGUUGAGUAGAGGGAGACGGAGGGGCACGACACAGCGUUUCGGGAGAGAACGGGGGCGCGGCAAGUUCCCGGAGCAAGCCCGGAGGACACUGGGCGGCCGGAGUCCUAGCGAGAUCCUGCGUGAACCGGCUCGAAAGCAGGGACGCCUGCAUUGCCACCCACAGAAUGAACACCACAGUCGACUGUUCCACGCACGCGCACACCGACCAGUUAGUCUAUGCGCUCAGAGCUGACUGCCGGAUAAGGAUUCCUCACAGGUUCGAUUGGACCUCCAACGCCGGGAGUUGCUCUUUCGUAGGCGAGCUCUGGGCCUGGACGCAGGGUACCCGGUCCGCUGUGCGUUAGAGAAAUAGAGAAGAGUGAGGAGGAGCUGGGAUCUCCCCAUCUGCACGCACUGGUGUGUGUGAAAGGUUGGUGGUCAUGUGGCUCCCAAUACACAGGCUGCCAGCAGCCCAGCCAGUUUCCAUGGCUUGUCAUUCCUUCUGCGCACACACACACUAACUUAAAGACGAGAAAAUUGAGGAAAAGUUUCCCUGGGGCUCCAGUGGUCCCCAAGCCCUUACAACCAUGCCUGAGUACAGGAGCUCACUGGAGCCUCACACUUCCUUAUUUCCACGUCUGAGGAUGUGCGGGCAGGAAGAAAUAACUCCAGUCUGGCUGCUGCAAGCAUUUGUAAAGCUGCUUUCUCUCCACAACACGCUUUCCCUGGCGCCUGCUCUGCCCCAGCCCUGGGUUGGGCCCUGGGGACACUGAUGAGCAGCCUGUGAGGGUUGGAGAAGAUGACAUCUGUGCCCAGCCCGGAGCAUGCACACAGCUGGCCAUCAACAAGCAGCUCGCCGGCCUCCCUUCCCAUCCAUCCUGCUACCUCAGUGUAAAGAUCAGAAAAACU